UACGUAGGGUGCAAGCGUUAUCCGGAAUUAUUGGGCGUAAAGAGCUCGUAGGCGGUUUGUCGCGUCUGCUGUGAAAACUGGAGGCUCAACCUCCAGCCUGCAGUGGGUACGGGCAGACUAGAGUGCGGUAGGGGAGACUGGAAUUCCUGGUGUAGCGGUGAAAUGCGCAGAUAUCAGGAGGAACACCGAUGGCGAAGGCAGGUCUCUGGGCAUUAACUGACGCUGAGGAGCGAAAGCAUGGGGAGCGAACAGG
rnacentral:rRNA from 1 species